GGAAUCUUCAAAGUCUCUAAUUCUAUCCACCAUGUCUAUUAGGCCCAUUACCCAACCUGUAAUGAGUAGUCCUCUUUUCUUAAUAUGGCCCCAUAGUUUCUUUAUUCAUAGUGGGCCGAAUCAUAUGAUCUUUGUAAAUUGUAGGGCUAUAGCCGGACUAAACCGCAUUUAGUUACAGUUGUCUUGUUAAUGUAAGAACAUAUGGAUGUCCAUGUGGGGGAACUCGAAUUUGUUUGGUAACGAAGAUAAUCGGAUUUGCCCAUCUAAUU